GGUCCCGGUGUCGUCACACUGGUGUCACACUGUCACGCUAUGGGUCCCGGUGUCACACUGGGUGCUAUGGGUCCCGGUGUCACGCUGUGAUUCUAUGGGUCCCGGUGUCACACUGUCACGCUAUGGGUCUUGGUGCCACAUUGGGGCGCUGUGGGUCCCGGUGUCACACUGGUGUCACACUGUCACGCUAUGGGUCCCGGUGUCACACUGGGUGCUAUGGGUCCCAGUGUCAUCAUCAGUGUCACACUGGGGCACUAUGGGUCCCGGUGUCACGCUGUGAUUCUAUGGGUCCCAGUGUCACGCUGUGAUUCUAUGGGUCCCGGUGUCACACUGUCACGCUAUGGGUCUUGGUGCCACAUUGGGGCGCUGUGGGUCUCAGUGUCACAUCGGUGUCACGCUGUGAUUCUAUGGGUCCCAGAGUCACACUGGUGUCACACUGGGCGCUGUGGGUCCCAGUGUCACACUGUCACGCUAUGGGUCCCAGUGUCACACUGGGGCACUGUGGGUCCCAAAGUCACACUGGGUGCUGUGGGUCCCGGUGUCACGCUGUGAUUCUAUGGGUCCCAGUGUCACACUGGGGCACUAUGGGUCCCCACUGUCCCCUCGGUGUCACACUGUCACGCUAUGGGUCUCAGUGUCACACUGGCGCUGUGGGUCCCAGUGUCACAUCGGUGCCACGCUGUGAUCCUAUGGGUCCCAGUGUCACACUGUCACACUAUGGGUCCCCACUGUCCCCUCGGUGUCACACUGUCACGCUAUGGGUCUCAGUGUCACACUGGCGCUGUGGGUCCCGGUGUCACAUCGGUGUCACGCCGUGAUUCUAUGGGUCCCGGUGUCACACUGGGCGCUGUGGGUCCCGGUGUCGUCACACUGGUGUCACACUGUCACGCUAUGGGUCCCGGUGUCACACUGGGUGCUAUGGGUCCCAGUGUCACACUGGUGUCACACUGGUGUCACAUUGGUGUCACAUUGGUGUCACACUGGUGUCACAUUGGUGUCACACUGGUGUCACACUGGGGCGCUGCUCCUGGUUAAGGCACCACUGGAAAACUCAAAGGGAAAGGAGGCACCGGGGG
rnacentral:lncRNA from 1 species